rnacentral:rRNA from 1 species
GCGAAGAAGGACGUGGCUACCGGCGAAACGUUUCGGGGAGUUGGAAGUAAGCUUUGAUCCGAAAAUAUCCGAAUGAGGAAACUCAAUAACUUCUUACUGAAUCUAUAAGUAAAGAAAGAGCAAACCUAGGGAACUGAAACAUCUUAGUACCUAGAGGAAAAGAAAGUAAAAACGAUUCCCUGAGUAGUGGCGAACGAAACGGGAACAGCCUAAACUUUUUUAAAUCGUAAGAUUUUGAAAAAGGGUUGUGGGAAGAAUAAGUUUUUCGUGUAAAUUCUGAAAAGAAAAGAAACGAUGAAUAAGAAAGAAACUCAAGCAAAAGCUAAGUCUUUUUGAGAAAUUAGGUGAAAUAACUGGAAAGUUAUACCAAAGAAAGUGAUAGUCUUGUAACCAAAAAUUUCUUUACAAUAAUUUAUUCCCGAGUAGCAUGGGGCACGUGGAAUCCCGUGUGAAUCUGCGAGGACCACCUCGUAAGGCUAAAUAUUCCUGAAUGUCCGAUAGCGCAUAGUACCGCGAGGGAAAGGUGAAAAGAACCCCGGGAGGGGAGUGAAAUAGAACGUGAAAUUGCAAGCCCACAAACAGAAAGAGAACGACUUAGCGUUUAAUUUCGUGCCUGUUGAAGAAUGUUCCGGCGACUUAUAGUUAGUGGCAGGUUAAGAGAGAGAUCUCGGAGCCAGAGUGAAAGCGAGCUUGAAUAGAGCGUUCGUCACUAAUUAUAGACCCGAACCCGGUUGAUCUAACCAUGGCCAGGAUGAAACUUAGGUAAUACUAAGUGGAGGUCCGAACCGACUGAUGUUGAAAAAUCAGCGGAUGAGUUGUGGUUAGGGGUGAAAUGCCAAUCGAAACCGGAGCUAGCUGGUUCUCCCCGAAAUGUAUUUAGGUGCAGCGGUUAAUAUUAUAGCGUAGGGGUAAAGCACUGUUUCGGUGCGGGCUGGUAAUUCGGUACCAAAUCGAGGCAAACUCUGAAUACUACGUGCACAGUUAACCAGUAAGACUAUGGGGGAUAAGCUUCAUAGUCAAGAGGGAAACAGCCCAGAUCACCAGCUAAGGCCCCUAAAUAAUGACUAAGUGAUAAAGGAAGUGGAAAGGCUUAGACAACCAGGAGGUUUGCUUAGAAGCAGCAAUCCUUUAAAAAGUGCGUAAUAGCUUACUGGUCUAGCAAUUCUGCGCCGAAAACUUAUGGGACUAAGUCAUUUGCCGAAGCUGUGAGAUAGAAAUAUAUUUUUCUAUCGGUAGGGGAGCGUUCUGUUGUAGAGUGAAGUAUUAGCGAAAGCGGGUAUGGACGAAACAGAAGUGAGAAUGUCGGAUUGAGUAGCGAAAACAUUGGUGAGAAUCCAAUGCUCCGAAAACCUAAGGUUUCCUCCGCAAGGCUCGUCCACGGAGGGUUAGUCAGGUCCUAAGAUGAGGCUGAGAAGCGUAGUCGAUGGAGAAUAGGUCAACAUUCCAAUACUCGAUUCUAGCAGGUAUCGAGGGACGAAGAAGGCUAAACUAGCCAGAUAUUGGUUACUGGUUUAAGUAGUUAAUUUUAAUAAACUUUGUUUACAAAGUAUAUUUAGAUUAUUUAUGAGGUGUUGAGGAUUAGAGAAAAUAAUCUGAGCUGAAAUACGAAUACAAGAUUUUUAAAAUCAAAGUAGUUGAUGUCAUACUUCCAAGAAAAGCUCGCUAUGCCUUAUGCUAGAAUCACCUGUACCAGAAACCGACACAGGUAGGUAGGUAGAGAAUACCAAGGAGCGCGGGAGAACCCUCCUUAAGGAACUCGGCAAAAUAGCUCUGUAACUUCGGAAGAAAGAGUGCCUUUUAGGCUGCAAUAUCAAGUUCCAAGCAACUGUUUAGCAAAAACACAGGUCUCCGCAAAGUGGUAACACGACGUAUGGGGGCUGACGCCUGCCCAGUGCUGGAAGGUUAAAGAAGUCGGUUAGCGCAAGCAAAGCUGGUAACUGAAGCCCCAGUGAACGGCGGCCGUAACUAUAACGGUCCUAAGGUAGCGAAAUUCCUUGUCAGGUAAGUUCUGACCCGCACGAAUGGCGUAAUGAUUUGGAAGCUGUCUCGAGGAGGGACUCGGUGAAAUAGAACUAGCUGUGAAGAUGCGGCUUACCUGCGCCUGGACAGUAAGACCCUAUGAAGCUUUACUGUAUCCUGAAAUUGGAUUUCGAUUUUAUUUGCGCAGAAUAGGUGGGAGACGGUGAAAUCCUUUUUUUGGGAAGGAUGGAGUCAUUAGUGAGAUACCACUCUGAUAAAAUUAAAAUUCUAACUUCAUACCGUAAGCCGGUUGAAAAACAGUUUCAGGUGGGCAGUUUGACUGGGGCGGUCGCCUCCCAAAAGGUAACGGAGGCGUACAAAGGUUUCCUCAGAUCGGUCAGAAAUCGAUCUUUGAGUGCAAAGGCAAAAGGAAGCUUAACUGUGAGACAAACAAGUCGAGCAGAGACGAAAGUCGGUCUUAGUGAUCUGACGAUGCUGUGUGGAAAGGUCGUCACUCAACGGAUAAAAGUUACUCUAGGGAUAACAGGCUGAUCUCCCCCAAGAGUUCCUAUCGACGGGGAGGUUUGGCACCUCAAUUGGGGGCAUAUAAGUAGUAAUACUAUGUGACAAUUUGGCUAUAUGCUGGAAACUCCGUUCAUGCAAAAUGAUGUAGAAUCCUAAAGUACUCUUGAAUUUUUCAAAGUGAAAAUCUUUAGGUGCGGACAAUCAGCAGGGAAGUUUAGAACUAAAAUUCUAUAACCCCUCAACGACUACACGCCGAACAACCUUUAUCGGUUGAUGAUAUAGUCUGAUCUUUUAGGCGACUAAAAGGAUUUGAAAAGGAGGGAUGAAAUACUUUUUCAAAUCAUAAAAUUCUUAUCUUCUUAUACUAAAUCGGAAACUAUUUAUAACAAUAAACAUUAUAAACUCUUUUCCGGCGUUUAAUCAACUUCAAGUUGAUUUGCUUGUUGGUAUAUGGAUGAUGGAGCAUUAAAAUGGCAAGGGAAAUCAAAUGCUGUUAGAUUUUGUAUAGACUCUUUCUCACAUGAUGAAAUAGUUUUGCUACAAAAUGCGUUAGCUAAGUUUAAUAUUCAAACUACUUUACAAAAGCAGCGUGGUACUGAACGUAUUUGUACAAAAGAGACUUCUUAUGAAGCUCUUGCAUUAGUCAUAACUCCUUAUUUAAUACCUUCAAUGUUUUAUAAAUUUCCUGAUGGAAACAAAGGAAUUUUUCAAGGGGAACAAAUUGGUAGGGAACUUUAUGAUUUUGAUGACCCGAUCUUUAAUAGUGAAUCAGAUUCAGAUAUUGAAGAUACAGAUCUAAUGCCGAAUCUUUUAGAUUCGUUUUAUUAACAUUAUUGCGAUGUCGGCUCAUCGCAUCCUGGGGCGGAAGUACGUCCCAAGGGUUGGGCUGUUCGCCCAUUAAAGCGGUACGUGAGCUGGGUUCAGAACGUCGCGAGACAGUUCGGUCCAUAUCCGGCGUGGGCGUUAGAGUAUUGAGAGUGACCUUUCUCUAGUACGAGAGGACCGAGAAAGAUGUACCGCUGGUGUACCAGUUCUUGUGCCAACAGGAAAUGCUGGGUAGCUAAGUACAGUUAGGAUAACCGCUGAAAGCAUCU